rnacentral:rRNA from 1 species
UACGUAGGGCGCAAGCGUUGUCCGGAAUUAUUGGGCGUAAAGAGCUCGUAGGCGGUUUGUCGCGUCUGCUGUGAAAACCUAAGGCUCAACCUUGGGCUUGCAGUGGGUACGGGCAGACUAGAGUGCGGUAGGGGUGACUGGAAUUCCUGGUGUAGCGGUGGAAUGCGCAGAUAUCAGGAAGAACACCGAUGGCGAAGGCAGCUCUCUGGGACGGUACUGACGCUGAGACGCGAAAGCGUGGGGAGCGAACAGG